GCAAACUUGGUCAUUUAGAGGAAGUAAAAGUCGUAACAAGGUUUCCGUAGGUGAACCUGCGGAAGGAUCAUUACCGAGUUAGGGUCUCUCAGGCCCGACCUCCCACCCCAUGUGUACCUACCUUUGUUGCUUUGGCGGGCCCGUUGGGGCGACCCACCGUCGGCUUCGGCUGGCGAGCGCCCGCCAGAGACCAUUCAAACCCUGUUUAUCAGUGUCGUCUGAGUAAAACAUAAUAGUUAAAACUUUCAACAACGGAUCUCUUGGUUCUGGCAUCGAUGAAGAACGCAGC
rnacentral:misc_RNA from 1 species